GAGAUCCGAAUCGUAGAAGGGUGUUAUAUAGUGAAGCGAGGAUAGGGAUCUUGAAUAUUGUAUGAAUGGCCAAUUCUCAGUACGUCCGAAUCAGUAAAUUCUUCACGUUUGGUCUGCCAAUGACCAAUGACCAUCCAGACGUUCACAUCAUCCUCGAAGGCCCGAUGCAAAUGGUCCGAACGUUCGAUGAUGCGGUGUCUUAAGUUCGACGAGAGUACGACCUUGACAGGAGCGAGUCGACUCCCUGCAUUUAAGGAUUAUACUUCGAUCUUUUGGGCACGAUUUUUCAAAGCACGAAGCCACCGACGAAGAUUCACCGAUUACGAAAUCGGAAACGAUGUGAACAUAAAAAGAGGGAUGAGUAUCCACAAAAUAACAAACCUAAAGGUGCGGCGAUGAACGCUCUAAUCUUUCACUUUGAUCGCACGCGCAAGAAGGUGAACAGCCUGAUUAUGUCGUUGGUGUUUAACGAUUCUAAAUGCAUUUUACUUUGGCCACCGAAGAGAAAUACAAAGAGAAUUCAGAGGUAUACGAUUACGACGCUGGCUAACCACGUUGUAAGUACAAGUUACUUAUACAUUUUUCUUUUAUUUCCGUCGGUAAAACAGAGUAAAGAUUUUUUUCUUUUCCGUUUUCUUUUUCUUAGGGAGAAUAAAAUAGAAACUUGUAAACAAUAAUUAAAUAUUUAUUAUAAAUAUCCUUUUAGUAGUUUAAAGGUUGUCGAAACGAAUUGCAUUCGUUUCUGUUGUAAUAUGAUAACAAAUAUAUAAUAAUAUGAUCAAAUAUAUAUCUAGCAAGGUAUAUUGUUGUUAAUUGAAACAAAAAACAAAAAAAAGGAAGGAUGUAAGAGAUGUAUAUGUUUAAAUGAUAAAAAGUGAAAAUAUGACGGCGUCAGGGCAGGUACGCAUGAGUAACUUUGGUAUGACUGAAGGUUCAUUUAAUGACGAAAAGGGGGAUAUGAAAAAGAGAAAGAGAGAGAGAGAGAGAGAGAGAAAGAAAAUAAGAAAAAGGAAAAAAUGAAAUCGAUUGGAACGAUACAUUGUUAAUAAGUUAAAUAAAUAAAUAAUUUUAACAUAAAUAGAUAUAGAAUAUACGAUUUAUCUAGUUUUCAUUGAACUUGACUUAUCUCAAAUUGUCCAACGAACUUGCAAGAAAACAAGAAAAAAGAAAGAGAGAGAGAGAGACAGAGAGAGAAAGAGAGAAAGAGCGAGCGAGAGAGCGAGCUAAUUAAAUCACGAAAUCAUAAGAGAUUUCAAUGAUCUUUGUCAUUUUCAGUUUUACCUAUCGAAAAUGAAGGAAAAAAGAUUAUAUAAAAGGACUAUUGCAAAAUCAAUAUAGACGGAAGGAUUAUCGAUCCCUUAUUUUUUGAGAUUGCCUCGUUUAUCGUCCUUUCUUCGUUAUUAUCGUCGAUAAAUUACUCUUGAGGAACGUACGAGCUAUAAACGAUAUCCUGAGGCGAAUCGUUUGAAGAUCUUCCCCAAUAACCACCAUGAUGAUCGUCCUCGUGAUCGUAAUGAUGUUGAUGUUGAGCGUGUUCGUAAUAGAUCACUUUAGAUGGCUGAUGAUUCUUUUUAAGAUCGAUCCAGAAUUUGGUUGCGUUCAUGAUGAAGCUUACAACAGCGAUUACGAAGAGCUUUAUUUGCAAAUGCGUUGAGAUAAUUUGCAGGAGUAAUGCGAGCUUGGCCUUGAACAUCAUUGCUAAGGCCAUCAGCUUUUGCAUAUGCUUCUUCUUCUUCUUUCCAUAUUUCUUUCUACGUGCUUCUUCUGAAAAAGCGACAGAUAAUGAUAGUUUUUAAUCUCAUCGAUGUCAAUGAUGAUGAAUCGAUUUAAAUUUAUAUUCAUAUACGAACAUAUAUUUUUCUCGUUUCACAAAUGACCUAAUUUCAAAGAACAAACGAUCGAAUAUAUCCUAUAUCAGAAUUUAUAAAACCGAUGAAUUAAUCGAGUUUCUAAGCAUCGAUGUUAGGAGAUUGAUAUCAGUAUAUUCGUCAUUAACUUUAUAAUGUAUUAAAAAGCAACACGGUGUUUUACCGAACGCACGGUCAAAGCACAAUAAAAUGAUUCAAAGAUCCUUUUAAUGUAUUGAGGAUGAACAAACAUAUAAAACAACCAAGUUCGGCUUUUAAAAUACUUGUUAUUUCUUUUUUCUGUAUCAUACCAAUUUUUUAUUUUCGUUUCCAUUUGGUUAUCGUUAAUUAAUUCACUGUUACCUUCCAUCAUCAUUAUGAAAGAGAAAAGAUUUAAUACUUUUCGCAGUCAUAAACUUUUCGAAACCGUUAUUAAAUUUAACAUUGAUUGGAUCAUCAACUUCAUUAAUUAAAAAAAAAUAGGACGAAUGAGACAAAAUAUGAUUAAUGUUAAUAUAUUAAGAAUAUUUAAGAAUUAUUGAAGUACGUAGAAGAAGAUUUUAAGAAUUAUUGAAAUGUGUCAAAGAAGAUUUUAAGAAUUAUUGAAAUAUGUCAAAGAAGAUUUUAAGAAUUAUUGAAGUAUAUAGAAGAUUUAUAUAUUUUUUGUCGAAUAAAAAUAUUUAAAAACGAUGGCAAAUAAGAUGAGCGAAGGAUACGAACGUAAUGUGACGAAUAUUCUCCUCGACCGCGAUUUAACUAUAAUAAAAUCUGUACGUUAAGCUGCACGGGAAAAGGGCUUGAGUAAACUGACCUCAAAACCUUCACCUGGACCAUGUUUAAUUCGUCUUACAAGUCACGUACAUUUUUAUAGUGAUUAUCUUUCAUGUAUUCUUUGAAAACUGUAUUUCUGAAAAUAAACUCGUUCAAUAUCGUACAAAUCACGCAUAAUUAAACGGUAAUCUAUUCACGAUCUUUCUAUUUCGUUGAUUAGAAUUUUCUACGUUAAUUCAACUUUUUUCUCAUUUGCAUUAAUCCGGAAA